rnacentral:rRNA from 1 species
GACGAACCGAGCGACCGUUGUUCGGAAUCACUGGGCUUAAAGGGCGCGUAGGCGGGCUGUCAAGUCUGGGGUGAAAUCCCGCGGCUCAACCGUGGAACUGCCUCAGAUACUGACGGUCUCGAGGGAGGUAGGGGCGAGCGGAACUGAUGGUGGAGCGGUGAAAUGCGUUGAUAUCAUCAGGAACGCCGGUGGCGAAGGCGGCUCGCUGGACCUCUUCUGACGCUGAGGCGCGAAAGCCAGGGGAGCGAACGGG